UAGGGAAUAUUGGACAAUGGGGGCAACCCUGAUCCAGCCAUGCCGCGUGAGUGAAGAAGGCCCUCGGGUUGUAAAGCUCUUUUGUCCGGAAAGAAAAGCUUCGGGUUAAUACCCCGGGGUUCUGACGGUACCGGAAGAAUAAGCGCCGGCUAACUUCGUGCCAGCAGCCGCGGUAAUACGAAGGGUGCAAGCGUUACUCGGAAUUACUGGGCGUAAAGCGUGCGUAGGUGGUUGUUUAAGUCUGAUGUGAAAGCCCUGGGCUCAACCUGGGAAUGGCAUUGGAAACUGGGCAGCUAGAGUGCGGUAGAGGGUAGUGGAAUUCCCGGUGUAGCAGUGAAAUGCGUAGAGAUCGGGAGGAACAUCUGUGGCGAAGGCGACUGCCUGGACCAGCACUGACACUGAGGCACGAAAGCGUGGGGAGCAAACA
rnacentral:rRNA from 1 species